GCGUACUUCGUAUAAUGGCUAUUACCUCAGCCUUCCAAGCUGAUGAUGCGGGUUCGAUUCCCGCAGUACGCUCCA
rnacentral:tRNA from 47 species